UACGUAGGGUGCAAGCGUUGUCCGGAAUUAUUGGGCGUAAAGAGCUCGUAGGCGGUCUGUCACGUCGGCUGUGAAAACCCGGGGCUCAACCCCGGGCCUGCAGUCGAUACGGGCAGACUAGAGUGCGGUAGGGGAGACUGGAAUUCCUGGUGUAGCGGUGAAAUGCGCAGAUAUCAGGAGGAACACCGGUGGCGAAGGCGGGUCUCUGGGCCGUAACUGACGCUGAGGCGCGAAAGCUAGGGGAGCAAACAGG
rnacentral:rRNA from 1 species